AGUGAACGCUGGCGGCAGGCCUAACACAUGCAAGUCGAGCGGCAGCGCGGUGUAGCAAUACACUGGCGGCGAGCGGCGGACGGGUGAGGAAUGCGUCGGAAUCCGCCUCUUUGUGGGGGAUAACGUAGGGAAACUUACGCUAAUACCGCAUACGACCUACGGGUGAAAGUGGGGGACCUUCGGGCCUCACGCAGAGAGAU
rnacentral:rRNA from 1 species